CAAAGGAAAGUUAGAACAGCCUGUUCUGGGAGGCUGCUGCUUUGUUGGAGGGUUCUACUUCGGGAAACCUGGGCCUUCCCCCUCUUCACAGAUUUGUCAGUAAAAUCACAGUGGGGAUUCUCUUCACCAUUUGGAAGCAGAUACGCUCUUCAGAUAAAGGAAAUGUUUUGAAGAUUUACAGUGACAUCAGCCAUACUAAUUUGCAGAGAAAGGCUUCAUGGGUUGCUAGGAAGAACAUUUAUGGCCAUAAUUUGGCCUCAGCUAUCAUUUCCAAAUGGCAGCAUCUGCCUCCAGAUGCUGCUGUGGUCUAAGGAUGUCCCCUGAAGACCACACAGCUGGAACCUGAAGUUCAGACAUUGGAUGCAUCUCUCCAUGGAGUCAUCGAUGUUGUUGUGUUGGGAGUGGCUGUGUGUUUGUAGAAGUGGCUCUCAAUUGUCCUUCUGCCACCGCUAUGGAAUAACUCACCAAGAAGUCCACCACCAGGUAGAUGAUAGCACUUUAGCUUGAGAUUUGCAACCUCCAGAUGGUGAGAAACAUUUCUGUUCUUUCUAAAUCACUCUCAUAUAAAAAUUCUGUUAAACAGGCACAAAAUAGACUAAGACCCUACAAACAUUCAGAUAUAAGAAUGUCACUCAUAAAUAGGACAGAAUUUUAAAUCCGUUCGUCAGAUUCUCUUCAACAACUUCAAAGACUGAAGAUACUUAUGACAUUAAUUGUAUUUUGUUCCAUACCAUUUGAUGAGGAUAUAGGAACAACUGAUUUUGGAGAAAAGACACUUUUUCAGUUUCCAACCAAUAAAACAUUGUGGGAUACAUAUUU